AAGUCGUAACAAGGUUUCCGUAGGUGAACCUGCGGAAGGAUCAUUAACACGUAUCCAACGUUAAACAACCCUGUGAACUUUCAGACGCUCUUGUAGCCCAGGAGGAACAGCAAUCCCGGUAAAUCAAUGGCGGAAAAGUUUUGAUUCGGGACCUCUGUCCAAAAGGUAUCAAGUUACAAUCGAGCUAGGAGCAGUGGCAUGGUUUCCCUAAGCAGUGCAGAAGGAUCCACUGAGUAAGUGUCACAGGGCUUUACGCCCCUUCGUUCACCCCUUUGCCUAAUCAAGCCCCGCAGAAACGCCGGGCAAAAAAAUCUGAACAACUGUUAACAAUGGAUAUCUUGGUUCUC
rnacentral:misc_RNA from 1 species